rnacentral:rRNA from 1 species
UACGUAGGGGGCAAGCGUUGUCCGGAUUUAUUGGGCGUAAAGAGCGUGUAGGCGGCCAGACAGGUCCGUUGUGAAAACUCGAGGCUCAACCUCGAGAUGUCGAUGGAAACCGUCUGGCUAGAGUCCGGAAGAGGCGAGUGGAAUUCCUGGUGUAGCGGUGGAAUGCGCAGAUAUCAGGAGGAACACCAAUAGCGAAGGCAGCUCGCUGGGACGGUACUGACGCUAAGGCGCGAAAGCGUGGGGAGCGAACAGG